rnacentral:lncRNA from 1 species
UAUCAAGCAGGAGAGUGGUCUUGAGUCUCUGGUGAGAGCACCAGCGCAGAAGGGAGGCUUCCAAUCAUACACCGCCUGGCUGGUUCUUUCGGUGGUUCUGCUACUGCUCCUCUCUGUUGGGGUAUAUGGUUGGAUGUGAAAGCUGUCCUGGUGCGGUAUGAGGUGUUAUGUUUUGCGCACACAGGUUCCUGGCAUCGACCUGGUGGUGUUUAGUCAUGUGUACAUAGUCUGUCAUACAGCAUGGGUUUAUAGGGCUGUAUGACAUCCGAUGUCUGUUCUCCCUCCAGCAAGCCGAGGCAGCUGCAAAUCAAAAAAAGAAGUAGCAUGUUAGGAGGAGCAAAAAAAAA